GAUGGCAUGGGAAAAUGUGUCAGCUGAAGAGGUGUGGAGGGGAAAGAGAAAGAGAGAGUGCAGGCUCAGUCAGAAAGACACAAACAGAAACCAAAGACAGAGAAAGAAAAGGCCAAUGCAUGCAGAAGGGUAAUAGCAGAGUCCUGCAAGAAACCACGACAUCAUCAAGUCAUAAGAGAUGCAAGUAUGAAAACAACAUAACUGAAGCCAAAUUUGCUAUAGCAGGGAACAUUGCCCAUGCUAAAUAAUCUAUACUCAGUUGAAAAAUUUGCCAAGAAGGCAGUUGCCCAGAAUACCACAAUGCAAAAUUCCAGUGGCUAAUAAAAAAAAAUUCAAAUGCUGUGCCACAGUACAGAGAGAUCUGUCUUCCUAAUCAGUACUGAUAUUGCAAACAAGAUGGGAAAUGACCUUGGGAAUUCUCUAGCAUGCAAUCUAGCUCUUGAUGCAAUCACGGUCAUGUGAGAUAAAUCUCAAUGCAAUCUUUGUAUGAUGUAUUUCAGCAGAUAUAAUUGUGAAAGAAGAAAUGUUGGAUUUAAUGGCAGUUUUCUGUCUUAUUUUUUUUCA